AGCCGCCGCGGGAAUACGUAGGUGGCGAGCGUUGUCCGGAAUUAUUGGGCGUAAAGGGCUCGCAGGCGGUUUCUUAAGUCUGAUGUGAAAGCCCCCGGCUCAACCGGGGAGGGUCAUUGGAAACUGGGAAACUUGAGUGCAGAAGAGGAGAGUGGAAUUCCACGUGUAGCGGUGAAAUGCGUAGAGAUGUGGAGGAACACCAGUGGCGAAGGCGACUCUCUGGUCUGUAACUGACGCUGAGGAGCGAAAGCGUGGGGAGCGAACGGGAUUAGAUACCCCCGUAGUCCCUGUCUCUUAUACC
rnacentral:rRNA from 1 species